UCAUGGCUGCACUAAGGGAAAUUAGGCCCUCCCAUGGAGAUUUCCUGGACACAUAAAUUCCCUUGAGAAGCCACAGCCCCCUUCCACGACCACCACUAGCAUCUUGCAGAAUUGAAAGUCAGAACAAAGGGGUGAGAAGAGACCAACAGAACACAAGACCUGACACGUCUGUGAAGAAUGACAGAGAGAAGCCCAAGUCAUUUUCCAGAGCUAGUUCUUUGUGCUUACUAUUGCAGAUUGCCUUAAAAGAAUGUUCCCAAGAAAAUAAUCAAGUGUCUAAACUUUCUGGAGGAUGGAAGUCCAAGAUCAGGAUACCGGAGUGGUGGAGUUCCAGUGAGCGCCCUCUUCUGGGUUGCAGACAGCUAACUUCUUGUAUCCUCAAGUGGUAGAAAGAGCUGGCUCUCUGGCCUCUUACAAAGGCACUAAUUCCAUUCAUGAUGGCCGCCACCUCAUGACCGAAUUACCUCCCAAAGGCUCCACUUCGAAACCCUAUCACACUGGGGGUU